CUUGUAUAUGACCAGGCAAACUUGACACCUGUGGUUUAAGCAUGGAUUGCAAUGUUGCCAUUGGAUCUUCCAACUCACUAGAAGCAAAAUAUGAUUCAUUAAGCUGCAGAUUGCACUCCACUAUCUGGAUCUUCCAGCUUUUCCUUUAAUCUAGGAAAUGCUGGCCUUAGUGCCUCUGGGAAUCUAAGGAACACUUUGUACAUCAUCAAAACUGCCUUCUUUCGCAAUCAUUCAAAGUAAAUAUAUACCUCAGAUUCCAAGUGAAAGCUUUGACUAGCAGCCAAGUAUCCAAUCCUCUUGAAAGUGAAUUUUGAAGAUGACAUGACUUCUAUGAUAUUGAAUCCAGCCCAGCUGAUGUCAUAGCCAAGCAUUUGCAACUACAAAUUAGAGAGUACAAGGUACAUAAGCAUAUCUGAUUGAGUACUAAUCUCAUGAAUAAAGAAAACAUGGAUCUGCAAUACAUACAUAUGUGAGCUUUGCAACUGCAUUUGCUUUGACUGCAGUAUUGUCUUGUCUCAGUUCUAGUUUGAUUUCUUCCAUACAUUGUGCUAUAUAUUUUGCCUAAAAAUUAAAACAUCAAUUAAUUCAAUAAUCAAUGCACAAAGACACAAGUUUUUCAAUAAAAGUACACAUUGCCAAAGUA